UGCAGGCUGCAACCCGCCUGCACGAAGCCGGAGUUGCUAGUAAUCGCGAAUCAGAAUGUCGCGGUGAAUGCGUUCCCGGGUCUUGUACACACCGCCCGUCACACCAUGGAAGUUGGGGGUGCCCAAAGCCGGCAAGCAAAUAUGCUGUCUAAGGCAAAACCAAUGACUGGGGUGAAGUCGUAACAAGGUAGC
rnacentral:rRNA from 1 species